rnacentral:rRNA from 1 species
CCCAGACUCCUACGGGAGGCAGCAGUGGGGGAUAUUGCACAAUGGGGGAAGCCCUGAUGCAGCGACGCCGCGUGGGCGAAGAAGUAUUUCGGUAUGUAAAGCCCUCUCAGCAGGGAAGAAGAAAUGACGGUACCUGAGUAAGAAGCACCGGCUAAAUACGUGCCAGCAGCCGCGGUAAUACGUAUGGUGCAAGCGUUAUCCGGAUUUACUGGGUGUAAAGGGAGCGCAGGCGGCACGGCAAGCCUGAUGUGAAAGCCCGGGGCCCAACCCCGGGACUGCUCUUGGAACUGCGUGGCUGGAGUGCAGGAGGGGCAGGCGGAAUUCCUGGUGUAGCGGUGAAAUGCGUAGAUAUCAGGAGGAACACCGGCGGCGAAGGCGGCCUGCUGGACCGUGACUGACGUUGAGGCUCGAGAGCGUGGGGAGCAAACAGGAUUAGAUACCCGAGUAA